GAUGAUAUAUAGGAUACUAGGAUGGGGAGCCACUAGUUCUUGGUGAUGAGGUAUGAUGGUGGGAUUGAACCUAGACAACGAGCAUCUAUUUUGUUCUUGCGAAAAAUUCACUAGGAAGGAGAAGGAAGCUUUGACGUUUAAAAAAGGGAGAAAGCACGGACCACAAGCACACAUGGCAUGCAUUCGUGCGCUGUUUUUUCUCCUUUCCUUUUAUUUCUUGAAAGCAGACAGGAACAAAGGAUAAUGGACUCUAUUCUUCUCCUUCGAAGUAUCGUACGAGCAUUACAUAGUGGUUCACUGUGCAUUGGUACUAUGUUCCCAUGUCAGGACGUUCGAGGCUUCGCCAGUCGUACCACCCGUCUCACUCUGGGAAUAUAAGUAUAUGAAGUCACGCCAAAGAAUGAUGGAAAAGAAAACAUACUCUCUAGCUGCCGCAUCCUCCGCCUUUGCUCCUAAGGCUGGAAUAAAGCACCUUCUUUUAUAGUCGAAUUUUUCCCCUUAUAUCUUCUUUUGGCUGAUUCUUGGGACACAAUUACCGCGAAAGUAAAAUCGAAU
rnacentral:lncRNA from 1 species